rnacentral:rRNA from 1 species
GAAUCUUGCACAAUGGGGGCAACCCUGAUGCAGCGACGCCGCGUGAGCGAUGAAGCCCUUCGGGGCGUCAAGCUCUUUCGACCGGGACGAUAAUGACGGUACCGGGAGAAGAAGCUGCGGCUAACUACGUGCCAGCAGCCGCGGUAAUACGUAGGCAGCAAGCGUUGUUCGGAGUUACUGGGCGUAAAGAGUGCGUAGGCGGUUUUCUAAGUUCGGUGUGAAAUCUCCCGGCUUAACUGGGAGGGUGCGCCGAAGACUGGGAAGCUGGAGUGUGGGAAAGGCAGGCGGAAGGCCUGGUGUAGCGGUGAAAUGCGUAGAUAUCAGGAGGAACACCGGCGGUGUAGACGGCUUGCUAGACCAUAACUGACGCUGAGGGACGAAAGCGUGGGUAGCAAACA